CAACCCUUGUCCUUAGUUACCAGCACGUUAUGGUGGGCACUCUAAGGAGACUGCCGGUGACAAACCGGAGGAAGGUGGGGAGUGACGUCAAGUCAUCAUGGCCCUUACGGCCUGGGCUACACACGUGCUACAAUGGUCGGUACAAAGGGUUGCCAAGCCGCGAGGUGGAGCUAAUCCCAUAAAACCGAUCGUAGUCCGGAUCGCAGUCUGCAACUCGACUGCGUGAAGUCGGAAUCGCUAGUAAUCGUGAAUCAGAAUGUCACGGUGAAUACGUUCCCGGGCCUU
rnacentral:rRNA from 1 species